GGAGAGAUACUCAAGUGGCUGAAGAGGCGGCUUUGCUAAAGCUGUAGUGGGGUUUUACCCCAGCGGGGGUUCGAAUCCCCCUCUCUCCGCCA
rnacentral:tRNA from 2 species